rnacentral:rRNA from 1 species
AGCAGCCGCGGUAACUCCAGCUCCAAUAGCGUAUAUUAAAGUUGUUGCAGUUAAAAAGCUCGUAGUUGAAUUUCGGGAUCAAUACGUCUGUCGUGCCUUUGGUACGUACGGGUGUAAUUGGUUUCUACCUUCUGAGGAUCCUUGAUGUCAUUAAUUUGGUGUCUUGGGGAAUCAGGACUGUUACCUUGAAAAAAUUAGAGUGUUUAAAGCAGGCAUACGCUUGAAUACAUUAGCAUGGAAUAAUGAAAUAGGACGUUCGAUUCUAUUUUGUUGGUUUCUAGGAUCGACGUAAUGAUUAAUAGGGAUAGUUGGGGGCAUUAGUAUUCAAUUGUCAGAGGUGAAAUUCUUGGAUUUAUUGAAGACUAACUACUGCGAAAGCAUUUGCCAAGGAUGUUUUCAUUAAUCAAGAACGAAAGUUAGGGGAUCGAAGACGAUCAGAUACCGUCGUAGUCUUAACCAUAAACUAUGCCGACUGGGGAUCGGAUGAUGUUAAUUUUUAAUGACUCAUUCGGCGCCUUAC